rnacentral:rRNA from 1 species
AUUGAACGCUGGCGGCAGGCCUAACACAUGCAAGUCGAACGAGUGGCGGACGGGUGAGUAAUGUCUGGGAAACUGCCCGAUGGAGGGGGAUAACUACUGGAAACGGUAGCUAAUACCGCAUACCAUCGGCAGUGCCCAGAUGGGAUUAGCUAGUGGGGGGGGUAACGGCUCACCUAGGCGACGAACCCUAGCUGGUCUGAGAGGAUGACCAGCCACACGGGCACGGAGACACGGUCCAGACUCCUACGGGAGGCAGCAGUGGGGAAUAUUGCACAAUGGGCGCAAGCCUGAUGCAGCCAUGCCGCGUGUAUGAAGAAGGCCUUCGGGUUGUAAAGUACUUUCAGCGAGGAGGCGUUACUCGCAGAAGAAGCACCGGCUAACUCCGUGCCAGCAGCCGCGGUAAUAC